AUGGGUAACCCCCGCCGGGGCCGGGUCCUCGGCGACUCGCCGCGAUACCUGCUAGAAUCCAGCGGAACGUUGCUGUUGGUCUGCAGGGAGGAUCCUAAGAGCAAGGCAGAGCAGACGACGAUAGGGGGGCGUCGGAUGUGGAGUGCGCUCGAGCUGCAGAUGGGGACCAAGUUCAGGGUGCUCGAGGCGGACUUGGCGCGGUCGCGGUGGGCGAGGCUGAGGAGCGUGGGCAACGACCGGAUGCUGUUCGUCGGGCCAUGGUGCUCCCGAGCGGUUCGUGUUACCGCCGCCGCCGCCGCCGAGCACGAGCAGGACUGUCUCUACACCGGGGACCGUAUCUUCUUCACGGAGGACGCCAUCGCUGGGAGAUACAAUCAUCGAUACUACCAGAAACAACCGGAGCCCUUCUACUGCAGCGUCUACGACAUGAGGACGAGGCGGUCCGAGUUGUUCCUCGAGACGCCCGUGCGGCCGUUGAAAGGCUUCCCGGUCACGUGGCUAUUCCCUCCAACUCCAACUCAGGGAUAG
rnacentral:rRNA from 1 species